UACAGAGGGUGCGAGCGUUGUCCGGAAUCACUGGGCGUAAAGGGCGCGUAGGUGGCGACCCAAGUCCAUGGUGAAAGCUCGAUGCUCAACAUCGAGUCGGCCACGGAUACUGGGUUGCUCGAGCACUGUAGAGGCUAAUGGAAUUCCGGGUGUAGCGGUGGAAUGCGUAGAGAUCCGGAAGAACACCGGUGGCGAAGGCGGUUAGCUGGGCAGUUGCUGACACUGAUGCGCGACAGCGUGGGGAGCAAACAGG
rnacentral:rRNA from 1 species